rnacentral:rRNA from 1 species
GACAGAGGCCUCAAGCGUUAGGCGGAAUCACUGGGCUUAAAGCGUGUGUAGGCGGAUCGUUAAGUGUCUUGUGAAAUCCCACGGCUCACCCGUGGAACUGCUGGGCAUACUGGCGAUCUUGAGCCAGCUAGGGGCUACCGGAACAAAUGGUGGAGCGGUGAAAUGCGUAGAUAUCAUUUGGAACGCCAAAGGUGAAAACAGGUAGCUGGGGCUGUGCUGACACUGAGACACGAAAGCCAGGGGAGCAAACGGG